GGUUGUGCUCUGGUGUGUCCUCAGGCAUCACUCACCCUGGGAUCAUGGGCAGUUUGCCUAACUCUCUGUAUCCAUUUCCUGCUGCUAAGUCUGCUGCUAAGUCGAUUCAGUCGUGUCUGACUCUGUGCGACCCCAGAGACGGCAGCCCACCAGGCUUCCCCGUCCCUGGGAUUCUCCAGGCAAGAACACUGGAGUGGGUUGCCAUUUCCUUCUCCAAGUAUCCAUUUGCUAGGGCUGCUGAAACAAGCGUCACAAACCACGUGGCUUGAAACAACAGAGAUGUCUCACUCAUCUCACCAUUUUGGAGGCUGAAGUCUGAAAUCAAGGUAUUGGCACGGUCAGGCUCCUUCUGAAACCUGGAGGGGAGCAUCUUUCCUUGCCUCUUGCUGGAUUUGGAUGGGUUGCCAGCAGUCCUUGGCUCUCUAAGCUCACAGCUGCAGCCCUUCGAGUUCUGCCUCCAUCUGUUACAUGGUGUUCUCCUCUCCUGUGUCUGUCCCAGGAUCCCUCCUCCUCUGGGAAGGACAGCAGUUGUAUUGGAUUGGGGCCACCCUAAUGACCUCAUCUGAAACUUGAUUACAUCUGCAGAGACCCUAUUUCCAAAUAAGGGCUAAAAAAAGGCAAGAUAAGAAGAGAGAAUGUUCUGUAAUGAGUAAGGGUGGCCGUGCCUCGUGAUGGGUCAGCCAUGCGUGUCUGGAGGAGGACUCUCUUUGAGGCCCAGGAGGUGGGCUGGGGGCGGGGUGUGGAGGACGGCAAGUGGAGGAGGGUAGGGGGAGCGUAAAUGGAGAUGAGAACCACCAACAGUCUCCUGAUGUCUCUGUGCUUCAAAGAGAAAACUGUGUCACAGCCGCAGGAGGGGAAAGCACUGAUCGCAGAGUUGAAAGAGGACAUUUUCCCAGAGCUGUAGACCCACAGUCCUCAGCGUGACUGAUGUACAAAGCUUCAUCUGCCUCCCUCCUGCGUCUCCCCCUCUCCUGCGUCUCCCCACAUGUGACUUAAGGUGGAUGCCAGAUGUGUAAACCAGGGCAGGGCCGUGUCCCAUCUAUUAGAAAUCUCUGACUUGUGGGCACGAAACAGAAACCUCAGCCAAAGGGAAU
ensembl:lncRNA